UGGGGAAUCUUCCGCAAUGGGCGCAAGCCUGACGGAGCAACGCCGCGUGAGUGAAGAAGGUCUUCGGAUCGUAAAGCUCUGUUGAUGGGGACGAACGUGCCUAAUGCGAAUAGUAUUAGGUAAUGACGGUACCCAUCGAGGAAGCCACGGCUAACUACGUGCCAGCAGCCGCGGUAAUACGUAGGUGGCGAGCGUUGUCCGGAAUCAUUGGGCGUAAAGGGAGCGCAGGCGGGCAUGUAAGUCUUUCUUAAAAGUGCGGGGCUCAACCCCGUGAUGGGACAGAAACUAUGUGUCUUGAGUACAGGAGAGGAAAGCGGAAUUCCCAGUGUAGCGGUGAAAUGCGUAGAUAUUGGGAGGAACACCAGUGGCGAAGGCGGCGUUCUGGACUGCAACUGACGCUGAGGCUCGAAAGCCAGGGGAGCGAACGGG
rnacentral:rRNA from 1 species